UGAGGAAUAUUGGUCAAUGGGUGAGAGCCUGAACCAGCCAAGUAGCGUGCAGGAUGACGGCCCUAUGGGUUGUAAACUGCUUUUAUGCGGGGAUAAAGGAGUCCACGUGUAGAUUUUUGCAGGUACCACAUGAAUAAGGACCGGCUAAUUCCGUGCCAGCAGCCGCGGUAAUACGGAAGGUCCGGGCGUUAUCCGGAUUUAUUGGGUUUAAAGGGAGCGUAGGCCGCGUUUUAAGCGUGUUGUGAAAUGUAGACGCCCAACGUCUGCAUCGCAGCGCGAACUGGGACGCUUGAGUACGCGCAACGUUGGCGGAAUUCGUCGUGUAGCGGUGAAAUGCUUAGAUAUGACGAGGAACUCCGAUUGCGAAGGCAGCUGACGGGAGCGGCACUGACGCUUAAGCUCGAAGGUGCGGGUAUCAAACAGG
rnacentral:rRNA from 1 species